UGAGGAAUAUUGGUCAAUGGACGAGAGUCUGAACCAGCCAAGUAGCGUGAAGGAUGACUGCCCUAUGGGUUGUAAACUUCUUUUAUACGGGAAUAAAGUGAGGCACGUGUGCCUUUUUGUAUGUACCGUAUGAAUAAGGAUCGGCUAACUCCGUGCCAGCAGCCGCGGUAAUACGGAGGAUCCGAGCGUUAUCCGGAUUUAUUGGGUUUAAAGGGAGCGUAGGCGGACGCUUAAGUCAGUUGUGAAAGUUUGCGGCUCAACCGUAAAAUUGCAGUUGAUACUGGGUGUCUUGAGUACAGUAGAGGCAGGCGGAAUUCGUGGUGUAGCGGUGAAAUGCUUAGAUAUCACGAAGAACUCCGAUUGCGAAGGCAGCUUGCUGGACUGUAACUGACGCUGAUGCUCGAAAGUGUGGGUAUCAAACAGGAUUAGAUACCCUGGUAGUCCACACAGUAAACGAUGAAUACUCGCUGUUUGCGAUAUACAGUAAGCGGCCAAGCGAAAGCGUUAAGUAUUCCACCUGGGGAGUACGCCGGCAACGGUGAAACUCAAAGGAAUUGACGGGGGCCCGCACAAGCGGAGGAACAUGUGGUUUAAUUCGAUGAUACGCGAGGAACCUUACCCGGGCUUGAAUUGCAACUGAAUGAUGUGGAGACAUGUCAGCCGCAAGGCAGUUGUGAAGGUGCUGCAUGGUUGUCGUCAGCUCGUGCCGUGAGGUGUCGGCUUAAGUGCCAUAACGAGCGCAACCCUUAUCGAUAGUUACCAUCAGGUUAUGCUGGGGACUCUGUCGAGACUGCCGUCGUAAGAUGUGAGGAAGGUGGGGAUGACGUCAAAUCAGCACGGCCCUUACGUCCGGGGCUACACACGUGUUACAAUGGGGGGUACAGAAGGCAGCUACACGGCGACGUGAUGCUAAUCCCGAAAGCCUCUCUCAGUUCGGAUUGGAGUUUGCAACCCGACUCCAUGAAGCUGGAUUCGCUAGUAAUCGCGCAUCAGCCACGGCGCGGUGAAUACGUUCCC
rnacentral:rRNA from 1 species